GGGAAGGAUUUUUUCCUGGAGAUUCCUGCUUGGUGAAGCUUUCCUUUGUGAAUCUGAAAUAUUCUGAUACAGAGGACUGACUGUUACAGAGGUUGCCAGGACAGGCUCUAUAGGUGGAAUAACCUGAACAACAGACAUACAGAACAUUCCUAUAAGAUGAAAGCGUUCCUCUUAUAGAUCCAGGACCGGACAGGCUGUCUGCUGCACACAGUAACAAAGACUGAAACCAUAUUGGCAUAGUGCCUGUUACAACACUAAAUGCUUCCCUGUGGCUUUCUACUCCCAGGGAGAAAGAGCAAGGAAAUCAGCAGGGAAACCAGUGGAAGUCAUGGUUUGACAACAUCAAAGAACAGCUUGGACCCUAUCCUUAUAGAGAGAAAAAGGUUGCCAGGAUCCCAUGAGUUGGCUGACUAAUAAGUGAAAUUCUGCCAAUGCUCCGAUUCAGGAUGGCUUGGGGUGACCCAGUGAUUGCUGGCCAUCGCUGGUGGAAGAAGUUAACAGGGGAAAAAAAGCAGGGAGAUAAAGAAAAAUAACCAAGCAAAUGUAGGAAUUGGGAACUCAUAGGAGCACAGAGGGAGUCGCCUCUUGAAUCAGAAACGUCUGUGUUAGUAGUAAGGUCAACAGUGACUUCUGAGAAGCAUUUGCAACAUUCGUUACCUCUUCCAUCCUCUGACAUAAACGCAUCAGCGUGUGGUGUUAUUUGUCUUGUCCACACGGAUCAGAAUAAUGGACAACGUGGCAGGGAAAGGCAGAAAAUACAUCAUUUAAGAAGCUGGAUGGCCAGAUGUACACGAACACUGGGAUUUCACAUAACGCACGUGGGUCAGCCCCUUCCAGUUAUUAUAAACAGCCUUGUGCUCUUUUAUGAAGACCAGAUCCUCAGUGAGGUCUGAGUGACUUAAUUUGCUCAUCUGUGCAGGAGAAAGUGGUUAAAGCAAUCCAUGGUGCUGCAGGGCAAGGGACAGACAACUGCCUUUGGGUAAGAAGGGCUGAUGAUUGAUGGUAGGACUAGAUGAUCUUAGUGUUUUUUUCCAACCUUUAUGACUCCAUGAUUCUAAGAAGGAGCUUUGUGAACAUAUAGUGGGUGAAGGACUGCUUAGGCUGUGCAGAAAAUGCUUCCUAGGCCUCCUGAAGUGGAAAAGUCUUCUAAAUCAGCCUAAAUGAAUUGGAUGAAAGCUCCUGCAGCCUUACGAUUUGCUAAUGUGGGGUGUUAAGUUGAGCAGCGUGGCUCUUAGAUUGCUAUAAGUCCUUCCUCAGUGCACUGAUAUGCUCUGUCCCUGCACCUCCUGGAUUUCGGCUCGUAAUGAAGAGCACUGCAAGACCUGGAUUCCCCUGGAGAAGAUGCCAGUGCAGCACUAAAGCCAACAUUUAAGUGAGAAGAAUGAUUCUACUGGAGAAUCUCUGACCACAGACAUGCAUGCUGCUGGCUCAUGGGUCUUGUUAUCCCUAGAUCAUGGGAUGACCAAUGCGAUAGGGCUGCAGAUCUGUUCACAGCCUCUUUAUGUUUUAGAAAAAUCACUUCCCCUAUUUC